UAAGGAAUAUUGGACAAUGGGCGCAAGCCUGAUCCAGCCAUGCCGCGUGCAGGAAGAAGGACCUAUGGUUUGUAAACUGCUUUUGUACCAGAGAAAACCCUUCUACGUGUAGAAGGCUGAUAGUAUGGUAAGAAUAAGCAUCGGCUAACUUCGUGCCAGCAGCCGCGGUAAGACGAAGGAUGCAAGCGUUAUCCGGAUUCAUUGGGUUUAAAGGGAGCGUAGGCGGACUUGUAAGUCAGUGGUGAAAUCUCCGGGCUUAACCCGGAAACUGCCAUUGAUACUGCAGGUCUAGAGUACAGUUGCUGUGGGCGGAAUAUGACAUGUAGUGGUGAAAUACUUAGAUAUGUCAUAGAACACCGAUUGCGAAGGCAGCUCACAAAACUGUAACUGACGCUGAGGCUCGAAAGUGCGGGGAUCAAACAGGAUUAGAUACCCCGGUAGUCC
rnacentral:rRNA from 1 species